rnacentral:rRNA from 1 species
UACGGAGGGGGCUAGCGUUGUUCGGAAUUACUGGGCGUAAAGCGCGCGUAGGCGGCUUUGUAAAUUAGAGGUGAAAGCCCGGAGCUCAACUCCGGAACUGCCUUUAAGACUGCAUCGCUAGAACGAUGGAGAGGUGAGUGGAAUUCCGAGUGUAGAGGUGAAAUUCGUAGAUAUUCGGAAGAACACCAGUGGCGAAGGCGGCUCACUGGUCCGGUACUGACGCUGAGGUGCGAAAGCGUGGGGAGCAAACAGG